rnacentral:rRNA from 1 species
UAGGGAAUCUUCGGCAAUGGACGGAAGUCUGACCGAGCAACGCCGCGUGAGUGAAGAAGGUUUUCGGAUCGUAAAGCUCUGUUGUUAGAGAAGAACGUUGGUAGGAGUGGAAAAUCUACCAAGUGACGGUAACUAACCAGAAAGGGACGGCUAACUACGUGCCAGCAGCCGCGGUAAUACGUAGGUCCCGAGCGUUGUCCGGAUUUAUUGGGCGUAAAGCGAGCGCAGGCGGUUCUUUAAGUCUGAAGUUAAAGGCAGUGGCUUAACCAUUGUACGCUUUGGAAACUGGAGGACUUGAGUGCAGAAGGGGAGAGCGGAAUUCCAUGUGUAGCGGUGAAAUGCGUAGAUAUAUGGAGGAACACCGGUGGCGAAAGCGGCUCUCUGGUCUGUAACAGACGCUGAGGCUCGAAAGCGUGGGGAGCAAACAGGAUUAGAUACCCUGGUAGUCCACGCCGUAAACGAUGAGUGCUAGGUGUUAGGCCCUUUCCGGGGCUUAGUGCCGCAGCUAACGCAUUAAGCACUCCGCCUGGGGAGUACGACCGCAAGGUU